GAUGAACGCUGACCGAAUGCUUAACACAUGCAAGUCCACUUGAAUUUGGGUUUUUAACUUAGGUUUGGGUGGCGGACGGGUGAGUAACGCGUAAAGAACUUGCCUCACAGCUAGGGACAACAUUUGGAAACGAAUGCUAAUACCUAGUAUUAUGAUAAUAGGGCAUCCUAUAAUUAUGAAAGCUAUAAGCGCUGUGAGAGAGCUUUGCGUCCCAUUAGCUAGUUGGAGAGGUAACGGCUCACCAAGGCGAUGAUGGGUAGCCGGCCUGAGAGGGUGAUCGGCCACAAGGGGACUGAGACACGGCCCUUACUCCUACGGGAGGCAGCAGUGGGGAAUAUUGGACAAUGGACCAAGAGUCUGAUCCAGCAAUUCUGUGUGCACGAUGAAGUUUUUCGGAAUGUAAAGUGCUUUCAGUUGGGAAGAAAGAAAUGACGGUACCAACAGAAGAAGAGACGGCUAAAUACGUG
rnacentral:rRNA from 1 species